UACGGGGGGGGGCAAGCGUUGUUCGGAAUUACUGGGCGUAAAGGGCUCGUAGGCGGCCAACUAAGUCAGACGUGAAAUCCCUCGGCUUAACCGGGGAACUGCGUCUGAUACUGGAUGGCUUGAGUUCGGGAGAGGGAUGCGGAAUUCCAGGUGUAGCGGUGAAAUGCGUAGAUAUCAGGAGGAACACCUGUGGCGAAAGCGGCUCACUGGACCAUAACUGACGCUGAUGCACGAAAGCUAGGGGAGCAAACAGG
rnacentral:rRNA from 1 species